CUGAGGCAAGCCAGGCAUCUCGUCAUGAGAUUACUGGAGCAGUCUUGUGGAGACGCCUAAGUAGAGGGGAACCAAUGUCACCUUGUCAACCAUAAACCAUGAGACCUGCUGCAAAGGCCUAUUUGUGUCGCAGAGCAAGAUUCUCAAAAGCCUUUGUGAGGGCCGGGCCCGGCCUUCCUCAGGGAACUGCGGAACACGAACAUGAGGGACAGAACCUGCAGGGGGUGAGGUGACUGCCCAGGGGGCCAACACUGGAGCCACACACAGUGAAUUCACUUGUUGCUUCCUCUUUUGCCCUCAGGAAGCAGGGCCGUGCCAGUGAGAACAAGGGGAAAGCAGAGGUCUACAUACAUGCAUAAGCUUGAGGAUGGAUAUCAGUCUUCCAUGCACCUAUUUACUGACCAUCUAAAAAACAUUACGUGGCUUGAGUCACCUCGGACUUCGAAAUGUCCUGUCGGCAGACUCUCCCGUCCUCUCUCGUGGACCAGGAGAGAGAGAGCGUGAGCAGGGGAGGGGCAGAGAGAGAAGGAGACACAGAAUCUGAAGCAGGCUCCAGGACCCGAACUGUCAGCACAGAGCCCGACACGGGGCUUGAACUCAUGAGCUGGGAGAUCAUGACCUGAGCCGAAGUUGGACGGUUAAUCAACUGAGCCACCCAGGUGCCUCUACAGUGUCUUAUACAUUUUUAAACACAUGGUAGUGUAUUACAUGCUUCAGUCUUCACUUUGAUUUUUCUCUCUUCAUAUUUUUCACUUGUUUGGGGGAAUUUUCCAUAAUUAGAUGUAAAAAUCUUCCUCAUUCUCUUGAACAGGACUUUAGUGAACGGAUACAUUAUAUGUUAACCAGUAUUAUACUGAUGGGCUUUCCUGUGGUUUCUAGUCUUUUGCUAUUAUAAACAGUGUUACAAAAAUCAAUCUUGGACACAUCAUUUCAUAUGUGUGUGAGUCUUUGUGUAGGAUAGAUACCUAGAGGCAGUUUUGAUUUUAAUAAAUAUUGCCACGUUGUCUACAGACACUCUUACAACAGACACUCUUACAGCCUCAACGACAUAUUAAACAUUGAGGUUUUUUUUUUUCAAUUCGAUAGGUGAAAAACAGUACCUCAUUCUUUUUUUUUUUUUUUUUAAAGCCUAUUUAUUUACUUUGAGGAGUGGGGUA